CAGGGCGCGCUGCAGUUCGCUUUCCCUGGGUGACCGCGCUGUCUUUUCGUUUCCUGCCCUGCUGACGCGUGCACCUAUUUCAUACUCUGCGCAGCUCUGCGUGGAGAAAGUGCGGGGCUCCCUCUCCGUUCCACACCAAACUCCUGAUUGCUCCGACCUGCUCUGGGGUCGCCAAGACGCGCGCUGCCCUUCUCCCAGUACUGGUCUCCCCAACGUCUUUGACCACCCUUAAUACCGACGAACUUGGUCGGACAACUGAUGUGUCCAGCCAAGUGUCACGUACUGGGAAUACAAAGUGGAUUGAGGCAAACUCUCUGAGAUUCCAGAGUUCAGUUAGAGAAAUUGACAGAAUCUAGUACUUUUAAAACUUAACAUGAUGAAUGAAUGUGGUGAGAACAGCAGCAGAAAAUGGCACUGAAUUCCAUAUAAAUAUCUGGGAAGGGCAUUUGAAAAGGGGAGAAAAGGUGUACAGUUUAACCAGCUUGGGGCAAGGGAGUGAGAGGCGCUGAAGCUCCUUAAACUUGAAACCCAGGCUAGAAUGAGUGACAAUGAGCCAGUCAGGGUGCUUGUUUGAGCGGGUUGGUUGGAGGGUGGGCAGUUACGAGGGAUAAGAAAGAAAAAAAGCGUGAAACAGAACUGGGUUUAUAUGUGUUUGUAUUGAACGAGAGAGGAGGAACUCGAGUUGAAACACUAAACCGGUUUCAAAAAGAGCCAUGCAAGGAUUUCGAACACAGCAGCAGGACUGCAAGCUUUGUGUUUAAAAAAUAAAUAAAUAAAUAAAUCAGUCUGCCAGCACAGGACCACUUCGCUUUCUGGGGACUCUCAGGCUUUACCAAGAGAAUUUUGAGGGUGUCAAAGCUAGAGGCUGAAAACUGUGAGAAUUACUAGGAAGAUGCUACAGUCAGAAUGAUUAGAGAUGGCGAAGGCCUAAUAGCAGUAAAAAGCAGAAAUGGCACAGAAGAAACCAGUAAUUGCUUAGAAGGUAAAAUGGGAAUAACUGUAAAUAAUAGCCUGUGCGAUCUGAGAGGAAGGACUUGAGAGUGUCUCCCAGAUUUCUAGCUUGGGACCCCAGUAGAGAUCAAAAUUUAGGGAGAGAAGUGGGUAGGAGAGAGUGCCAAGGAUCAGGUGCUGCCUUUGAGAUGUCUACGCAUAUCUCCACUUUCACCGUCCAUCAUCUCUUCAGCUACAGUGGAGGAGCUCCCAAUCUAAUAAAACUGUCUUGCUGAGAUGAGUAAUAACUCCAUCUUUCCAAAUACACUAGUCACUUCUCUGUCAUCGUGCUCGACUUGUUAUUAUCAACUGAUGCAGUUGACAGCCCCUCCUCUUUAGCAUCCUUGGCACCAUACUUGCCUUGUGUUCCUCCCACUUUGCUGGCCUAUCUCAUUUGCUGUCUUAUCUGUCAACUCCUCCUCUUUUCAAAAUCUAGAUAUUCAAUGCUGCAAGACCCAGUCCUGUGCUUUCCUCCUCUCGUCCAUUCCCAUAGCUUUAAAUACCCUCCCUCUGCAUCCAGUAGGUAGCCAUGUAGGGCUGUUGAUCAUUUGAAAUGUGGAUAGUUGGAAAUGAGAUAUGCAAUAUGUAUAAAAUACACACCAGCCUACAAAGACGUGUAUGAAAAAAAUAACGUCCUGAUUUGAAUACUGAUUACAUGUUGAAAUAUUUUGCAUAUAUUGGGUUAAAUAUAUAUUGAAACUAAUUUCACCCAUUUUUACUUUUCAUGUGACUGCUCAAAAAUGUAAAAUUACAUAUGUGGUUUAUCCUGCAUUUCUGUUUAUCCGUGUGGAUUUAUAUGCUGUUGCCUCUAAAAUGCCUCCAUUCCAGACUCCUUUCUUGGGCAGUAAGACUACCAUUCCAACUUGCUUUUCGACAUCAUGUGGAUGAUGUGGAUGACUAAUAAGCAUCUCAAACUUAUCACAUCUAAAACAGAAGACUUGAAUUCUCUCACCCAUGCUAUACCUGUUCCUCCGUAAAUGUCCCUCAGCAAAGUAAAUGGGACAAGCUAGCCACAAGUCUACCAGUCAUCCUUGAUGGCUUACUUCAUCUCCCACAUCUACUUCAGUAUGUCUUGUCAACUCUCCUCCAAAAUAUACACUAGUUGUGCAUGUUCUCCAUGACUACUCCUCUUACUAGAAUGAUAUCUAUCAGAAAACUGCAACAGGCUCUUUAAAAUUUUUUUGUUUUGCUUAUAUUCUAUGAGAAGUACAUCUGGCAUAUCAUUCAAACAGUACCAAACAGAAUAAAGUUCAAAGCAAAUCUUUUCUGUCUCCCUAUACCCAGUACUCAUGGGAAGUAAUCAUCAUUACUGGAUUAUUUUGAAUCCUUCCAGAGUUACUACGCAGAGUUAUUUUUCUUCCUUUCAUCCCAGCAGUAUAGCCUAGAAAUUGUCCUUAUUCCUGAAGACAAUCUUGGAAACAACCUGUUUGCCCCACCAUCCCUAAUCAAGCUUGUGAUCAGAUUUUUGGUCUUUGCAAGUAUGAUCAGUGAAAAAUUCCUAUCAUACUGCAGUCUCAAUUUAUAUUUAUAUUGUGUUGAGGAAUAUUGAACAUCUUUUAUGUGAUUAACAGCCAUUUACAUUUGUUCUAGGAAUUCUCCUCUUAUCCUUUGCUUAUUUUUCCAGAUGAGUUACUGAGGUUUUUUCUUAUUGAUUAAAUAGGCUCUUUGUUGCAGAUAGGAGUUGCAAAUAUUUAUUUUGACUCUGUUUAUGGUAAAUCCAUACAGUUUCUAAUGCCAAACUCUCUGUUUUUUUCUUUUGUAACUCCAGGGAUUUGCUUCUCACAGAAGAUUUUCAAUAGCCUCUAUCAGUCUGUCUACUUCCAUUGUUGCAUUUCUAUUAUAUGUUGCCCACACAACAAUAAAAAUGAUCUUUUUAGUUUGGAGCUUUGAUUUGUCAAAAAGUUAUGAGGCAAUCAUCAAUAUCUGAACUAAAAGAAACAAAACUGGGCUGAGCACAGUGGUUCAUGCCUGGAAACCCAAUACUUUGGAAGGCCGAGUUGGGUGGAUUGCUUGAACUCAGGAACUGGAGACCAGCCUGGGCAACAUGAUGAAACCUCAUAUCUCCAAAAACCAAAAAUUAGCCAAAUGUGGUGACAUGCACCUGUAGUCCCAGCUGAGGUGGUAGGAUCACUGGAGCCCAGAAAAUAGAAGCUCCAGUGAGCCAUGAUUGCACCACUGUACUCCAGCCUGUGUGACAUAGCGACCCUGUGAAAGAAAGAAAGAAAGAGAGGAAGAAAGAAAGAAAGAAGAGAAAGAAAGAAAGAAAGAAAGAAAGAAAGAAAGAAAGAAAGAAAAAGAAAGAAAGAAAAGAAAAAAGCAACAAAACUGGAUUUACCGUAUAUGCUAAUGACGAAAAGCUAUGCUGGGUAGGCAGUCUCCCCAAACAGAGGAGGCUGCUGAUGCUCUAUGGAGCUUUGGGGAAUAUAGAGUUCAGGAAUAGGUGCAUUUCAAAGGGAAAAGAGUUUGCCAUCAUCUGUAGAAGAGUAGAUAUUCUGGUAAGACUGUUGUUAAUUCUCCAUUGAAUUUAUUGAAGUGAAUAUGUCAUUGGCUGACUUUGAGAAAGAAGAGUUUUUUUCAAAACAACUUCUAUUGAGGCAGUUGAUUAAUUGAAUGGGUUUAAAACUGGUUCUAGGAGUGUGGAAACUUCCUUUAAUUCUCAGGUCUUUAAAAAAUUAUUAUAGAAAUGUAAAACCUACAGAAAAAAAUCAGAAAGUAAUAUAAUGAAAAAGGUAAUGCACCCACCAAACUGAGUGCCCAGGGAAGGACACAGGAAAGAGUUAUUAGUCAGUGCAAACUCCCCAGUGCAGUGCCUGAGAACUUCUCCUUGGGAGCUUGCCCUUCUUAGGAAUUCAGGUUACUUGGUUGCCUUGUAACCCAGCUGCAUCUGAUGGUUUCAGUUAAGGUUGUGACUUUGUAGUUCAUCUGAGUUUUUCCCAUUAUUCAGAAAGGAAGGAUGUUCAUUGCAGCCUUUCAUAUCCUAAGCACAAAAGAAGUCUUUCCUCUCAAUUUUAACAGCACAUUAAUGGUAUAUCACCCUUUUACUCCCAGUUUCUUAGUUGUCUCGUCUUUAUGAGGUUUCGGCUUAUUUGUUUUGUCAUAAAAAGGGUUCUUUUUUUAGAAUAUAGUCAAAUUUAUCAAUUUUUUUCUUUUAUUGCAUCUGGAUUUUAAAACAUAGUUAGAAAUCCUCUCCUUGUACCCAAGUUAUAGAAGAAUUCACUCAUUUUUUCCCUAAUUACAUGGUUUAAUUAUUUAGAUUCCUGACCCAUUUGGAGUUUAUUCUUUUGCCUAGUAUGAGAUAGGGGUCAAAUAUUUUGUCUUUUUCUAAAUGACUAACCAAUUGUUAGGUACAUCUUUGUCCAAGUGAUUUGAGAUGCCACCUUUAUUGUAUACUAAAUUCCCAUAUGUAUUUGGGUUUGCUUCUAAACUUUCUUUUCAGUUGUACUGGCCUGUCUUUCUUGCCAUGCACCAGGACCACAGUUUUUAUUUUAGAGGCUUCAGAGUAUGUUUUAGUGACUGGUAGAGGUAGUCCCCUUUCAUAGCCCUUGUUUUUGUUUUCCUGGAUAUUCUUCCAUAUUUUUUCAUCUGAAAUUAGUAUCCGCUUGUCUAGCUCCAUAAGAAAACUUGGUAUUAUCUGAUGAACUUUAAAAAUUAACUUAAGGAGACUUCACUUUUUAACGUUAAGUCAUCGCAUACAAAAAGAAGGGGUGUUCCAUUUUUUCAAACUAUUUUGUGUCUUUUGAGAGUGUUUACUUCAUAUAUAUUUUACACAUUUCUUAUUAACUUUAUUAUUCUUUGUUGCUUUUGUAAAUGUAGUUUUCUCUCCCUUUAUGUCAUGCUACUGGUUAUGUAUGUGAAGACUGUUGAUUAUGUAUGUUAAUUGUAUGUCCUGCCACCUUACUGAAGUCUUCUCUUGCUUGACUUAGUUUUGUUGUUAAUUCUCUAUGAUUUUCCAGGUGUACUAUCAUACUGUCUGCAAAGACAGAGAGUUUUACUUACUCUUUUUAGUCCUUCUGCCUUCAAUGGAUUUUUCUUGUCUAAUUGCAGUAGCUGAUAUCUCCAGUUCAAUGUUAAAUAGCGGUGAAGAUAGUCUACAUUCUUGCCUUGUACUUGGGAGAAAUACUAAACAAACAGAAGCAAAAGGAAUGCUCUUCCUUGUAGGAGAAAGCCAAUCAGUAAAUGUAGAAGGAAUGAUAGGAAUAGAAAACUGCUAUUUGCUAGGCAUCAUCAUAAUAUUUGAUCCUGGCAAGAAUCAUUAAUAGUUGCCAAAAUUAGUGGAUAAAAGUUUGAAGUGUAAAGGAUAUAUGCAUAAUCUCAAAGUGGCUCCUCACCAGAGAUUUAUUAAUGACAAAGGAAAAAAAUAGUGCAGAAACCUGGCCCACACACCUGAACCAAGGGAUCAUAGUUAAUAUUACCAGUAUUGAGACAAAGUGACAUCAUGUGCCCCCAGAUAUGCACUGAAACUGAAAACACAAAACUGUGGUUUACUUAACAACAGCUCAUGCCUAAAUCUCAGCAUAAGGAAACACCAAACAAACCCAAAUUGAAGGAUAUUAUACAAAAUAACCGGCCUGUAUUUCUCAGAGUCAUCAAAAACUAAGGAACUGUCCUGAUGAAAGAAGACUGCAGAGACGUGACAGCUGAAUGCACCACAUGAUCCAGGAUUUCUUUGGCUAUAGAGAACCUUAUUGGGAUAGUUGACACAAUCUAAGUUCUGUGGCACGAUGUUUGGCUUUGUCAGUAGAUGGCGACAGAGAAACGUCUCAGGAAAAAAGUAUUCCUCCAGUUCUGCGGCACAGCCAGGACCUGUGACCUGAUUCUGAGAAAACAGCUUCGUAGAAGUCUGAUAAGGAGGUUUUGAAAUGCUCUCCUUCCUGAUGAAAAGAACUGUGAAGAGGAAAGUGCUAUUUUUUUUUCCAUCUCGGACAUAGUUGUGUGAAGUGUGAUGCCUGGAGUUAUGACAGCCAUCUUGCAAUCAUGAGAAGAUAAGGCUGUGGAUGAACACCGACAUACCAAGAAUGGUUGCAUUAAAAGAUGAAAGGAGCCUGGGUCUUGAAUAUCAACACUGAACACUUCAUCAGUUCUCAAACAGCCCUGCCUCUGGACUCUUGUCAUGUGAGAUUACUAAUAUCCUCAUUAUUUAAGCUACAUUAGUAGUUGGAUUUCUUGUCACGUGUAGCUGAAAAUAUCCUAAUACAUCAACAAAUAAAUGAGUAAAUAAUAAAAUUUUUAAUUAAAAAGAAAAAUUGAGCUCUAUACAUAUUGUAUGCAUGUACCAAAAAUAUCACUUGUACUCUAUAAAUAUAUACAACUGUUACAGAUCCAUUUUUUAAACAUACAAAUUUGAACCUUUUUUUCUAUUUAUGUUUCUGCCAGCAGGAAGUCCAAAUCGAACUCUCUUUGUGUCUAUUUGCGUCUGUUUUUUAAAUAACCUGAUUAAAUUAAACCUUAUGAGAAUUUUUUUUUAAAAAAGAAAGAAAGAAAUGACUAAAUAGAAAAUGGAAUUAGAGGGUACAAACCUCGGAAAAGAGAUCCAAAAGACUGAAUGUAACUAGAAAUGGCAGGAGAGACAAAAGAUAUAUUCUGAGGAGAAACAGAAAGGGUGACAGCAAACAUGCCAGAACAUGUGAAGGUGAUAUUCCACAGGAGGUGGGUAAGGGUAAGCUAGAAGGAGUUGGGAAUAUCAGGUUUAGAAACACAUAAGUAAAAAAUCCUCCUCUAAAAUAAAAAAGAGGCAGGGCACGGUGGCUCACACUUGUAAUCCCAGCACUAUGGGAGGCUGAGGCAAGUGGAUCAUUCAAGAUCAGGAGUUCAAGACCAGUCUGGCCAACAUAGUAAAACCCCCUCUCUACCAAAAAUACAAAAAUUAGCCAGGCAUGGUAGUACUUGCCUGUAAUCCCAGCUACUCGGGAGGCUGAAGCACAAGAAUCACUUGAACCUAGGAGGCGGAGGUUGCAGUGAGCCAAGAUGGCGCCACUAUAUGCUAGUCUGGGUGACAGAGUGAGACCCUGUCUCAAAAAAUAAAUAAAAUUAAAAAGCCAGGAAAAGGAAAGAUGACAGAAUAGGUAUCAGAUAAUACCAAUUUAUUUUACUAAAAUCAUCCAAAGGAUUACAGAAAAUUAAGCAAUUAAAUAGUGAGGCUUAAUUUUGACUUCAGAAUGUCAAUAGCAUGACUUCUUCUCACAGGAUAGAAGUAUCUGUAAGUGUAAUAAAAUUGAUAAACUUGGCUACAUUUGGAGCCAAGGAAUUUUUACUAUACAGUAUUUAGAAUAACUGACAGUUAUUUCUACAGUAUUUAGAAAUAACUAAUUAUUUCUCUUUUCCAUUGUUGAAAAUGCAGCCCCUUCCAUUAUAAAAUCAUGUAUCUCAUGGAUACCUUCAUAUAAUGUGAUUCUCCAUGUCUAUUUAUCUCUAUUUAUCCUUCCAGCCCAUUCAUUGCUAAGCUCAAACCAUCUACUGUUCACCUGUGCACUUGGAGAAUCUGUUACUUUUCCUCUUCAAUUGAUGGAACCCAGAACUAAAGGAAGCCAGAGAUUCGCACUGAAGAAAUGGAAACAGACAGUAAUGAAGCCUAUUCUAUUUUACUCCUUAGUGUUAAUCAAAAAAUAGUUUGUUAAUCAAAAAAAAGUAAGACAAAAGGAAUAAACCCAAAUGUAUUAGUAGAAAUAAACCCAAAUGUAUUAGUCAUUAAUAUAAGUUAACUAAAUAACCCAAGUAAAAAGCCAAGACUGUAAUACUGGUUAAAAAUACAUGUUGCUUACAACAACCACAUUUUAAACAUAAGAAAUAGAUUGAAUAUGGGACGACAGAAAUAUAGUCAACAUGUAAAUGUUCACUACAAGGGAGCUGAGGUAGUUAUCCUAAUAUCAGACAGAGGGGACUGGAAGGCAAGAAGUGUUCUCAAACAUAAAGAGGGGUACUUUAUUAUGAUCAGGACUCAAUCCAACAGAAAGAUAUCACAGUCCUAAAUCCUAACACACUCAAUAACAUAGCUUCAAAAUUCAAAAAGUAAGAAAUUGACAGAUCUAAAUUCCACUGAGGUUGGGAAGCCAACGCGGGUGGAUCACUUGAGGUCAGGAGUUUGAGACCAGCCUGGCCAACAUGGUGAAAUCUGUCUCUACUGAAGUUACAAAAAAAAAAAAUUAACUGGGCUUGGUGGCGCAUGCCUGUAAUCCCAGCUUGCCAGGAGGCUGAAGCAGGAGAAUCACUUGAAUCUGGGAGGCAGAGGUUGCAGUGAGCUGAAAUCGUGCCAUUUCACUCCAGCCUGGGCAACAGAGCAACACUCCAUCUCAAAAAUAAAUAAAUAAAUUCCACUGAGAGAAGUCACUGAUAGAAUUCAAGAUAAGUCUGAAGAGUGAAACCCUAUUAAUUCUGAACUCAUUAUCACACAGCUCCCGAAAUGUGAAUCCUGAUCAGUGUUAAGUUGUCUCAGGGACUCAAAUGGGGGCACCAGUUUGAUGGGUAGCCUUGUCUGGCCCACUAAAUCUCUUGCUCAGUGAGAUCUCUAGAAAAUAUCUCCAGCACUUCAUUUAAAGCCUUAUGUGUAUAUUAUAUCCUUUUUUUUAUUGCAUUUUAGGUUUUGGGGUACAUGUGCAGAACAUGCAAGAUAGUUGCAUAGGUACACACAUGGCAGUGUGUUUUGCUGCCUUCCUCCCCUCCACCCAUAUUUGGCAUUUCUCCCCAGGCUAACCCUCCCCAGCUCCCCUCCCCCUGCUGUCCCUCCCCCAUUCCCCUCAAUAGACCCCAGUGUGUAGUACUCCCUUCCCUGUGUCCAUGUGUUCUCAUUUUUCAGCACCCGCCUAAGAGUGAGAAUAUGCGGUAUUAUACCCUUAAGUAAGAAAUGAUGCAGCCCAUCUGCAUUUUUCUAAAUGAAUUCCAAUCAGGGUCAGCAGGACACCAGGGCCCUGUCCCAGACUUGGGAUCUACCAGCUCCUGUUCUUGUCAAAAAAUAAACAUAUCUGGCAGUUGCAUCUUGGAACCUGGCAGCUCAGUAGUCCUCAUCAGAAACUUAGGACAGCAAAGUGCUCCAGGAUUAUGGUCCAAAGGGUCAUAAACAUGUAGAAAAUUUUAAAACACUGGUUUCCUCCCCAGCAAGGAGCACGUCACUCAGUUCAGCUGUGUCAUCAGUAAUGUCUACUCCAAAGACUACUGUUUCAAGAGGACCAUUUCUCUUUCUCUAUUCUGUCUGCACAGCAGGCCAGUGCCUGCCCCCACAACACUCACAGCCCACUCUCAAAUCUCAGGCCAUAAUCUCUGCAUUAGACUCACUUUCUUUAGAAACAGAUCACUCUAGGCUGGGUGCAGUGGUUCACACCUAUAAUCCCAGAACUUUGGGAGGCCGAGACAGGAGGAUCACAAGGUCAGGCGUUUGAGACCAGCCUGGCUGACAUGGUGAAACCCCAUCUCUACUAAAAAAAAAAAAUACAAAAAAAUCAGCUGAGCAUGGUGGCGUGCACCUGUAAUCCCAGCUACUCAGGAGGCUGAGGCAGGAGAAUCUCUUGAAAACCCGGGAACGGAGGUUGCGGUGAGCUGAAAUAGUGCCACUGUACUCCAGCCUGGGUGACAGAACGAGACUCUAUCACACACACAAAAAAAAGAAAAAAGAAAGAAAGAAACAGAUCACUCUGCUACAUUUGCUCAGCUUUAACCUUCAAUUUCAAGUUUGCUUCAGAACCCAAAACCCAGCAAUAUGCAGUGACUGUCUUUUCUUCUACUGCAAGCUUUGUCAUCUAAUUUAUACCACAGGAAGAAAAUAGACAGGUCAAGUUUGGUUACUCUCAAAUUUUCUAAUUAUCUUUAAGACUGCUGUGGGUGAUUGAGGGACUCUGGAAUGUCAUGGGACAUUCAUACAUGUAAUAGCUUACUGUAAGUUACCAGUUGUGAAAUAUAUCACUUUCUUAUUCUUAACAUUUUCUUUUAUUAAAAAGAAAGAGUCAACAAAUUUAGCACUUGAUGGGUUCCCUUAAAUGUGAAUAGCCAGCUACCUUUAGAAAUCUAAAAGUAAAAUGAAACUAAUCAAAUAGUUAGUGGUUUCUCUACUGGUGUUGGCCAAAUUGGAAGAGACAGAGGACCUAGAAAUUCAUAUCCUUCAAUUCUUGAAUAGGAGAAAUUAAAGAAAUAUAGCUAUCAUUUAAUCCAGCUUCUGUCUCUUACAAUAGUGAAUUGAGUGGCUUGUGUAAACCAAAUGUUCUAGACCUCAGAAGCUCUAGACACACAAAUCAGGCCCCACUUCCAGUCUGUAACACAGCCCCAGCCUGUAAUGCUCCAACUUAGUUGGUCAAAAGAACUUAGUAUUUUAUCAGAUUCUUCCCCCUCCCACCCAACCCGCCAAAUAUCUCCAGGGAACCCAGAAUGUUCACAAUCCACACACCCUCCUGACAGCCACAACUGCCCCCAAGCCUGUCCUGCAGUCUUCCCACACUUCCCCAGGCCCCUCUCCCCAGCCCUGGCCUCUUUCCACUUCCUGGGUUCCUCUUGUGCUGCUUCUCUCAGACCGAGACACAAACCCAACCAGAGUUGUGUGGGAAGAUCCCAAGGCCCUUCCUAAUGCCACCCUGGAGGGUACUGGGAUGCAUGGGGGUGGUCAUGCCCCUGCCUCUUGUUCCUUAUAUCACUUCUUUCCCUGGUGAACAUGAUCCUUUUUUCCCUUUAGUCCCCAAACCCCCCUGUACAAAUUCGCCAGAU